CGGACUUAAAAUCCGUCGACUUUAUAAGUCGUGAGGGUUCAAGUCCCUCUAUCCCCA
rnacentral:tRNA from 4 species